rnacentral:lncRNA from 1 species
GGCGGAAAGCCUGUCGGAAGACGCGGCGGAGGAGGGCCGAGUCAGGGCGGACUGGGCUCCUCUGUCUCCAGGCCGCUCGGACCUGGGCCUUGCACUGUUCAUCCCGGUGCAGAGUGGAGGGACAGAGGCACUGUGGAGACCCUCAGGCCUGGGCAGCCCCUGGGACCUGUGGGCAGAGGGACGAGGCCAGCGAGGUCAAGGUCUUCCCACUGCUGAGUUCAUGGGGCCCCAUCAGAUCUCCCAAGCUGUCCGUGC